rnacentral:rRNA from 1 species
GAACUGAAGAGUUUGAUCCUGGCUCAGAUUGAACGCUGGCGGAAUGCUUUACACAUGCAAGUCGAACGGCAGCACGGGUGCUUGCACCUGGUGGCGAGUGGCGAACGGGUGAGUACUGCGUCGGAACGUACCGAGUAAUGGGGGAU